rnacentral:rRNA from 1 species
GCCUACGGGAGGCAGCAGUGAGGAAUAUUGCCCAAUGGAGGAAACUCUGAGGCAGCAACGCCGCGUGAACGAUGACGGCCUUCGGGUUGUAAAGUUCUUUUCUCAGGGACGAUGAUGACGGUACCUGAGGAAUAAGUCCCGGCUAACUACGUGCCAGCAGCCGCGGUAA